rnacentral:rRNA from 1 species
AUUGAACGCUAGCGGGAUGCCUUACACAUGCAAGUCGAACGGAGUGGCGAACGGGUGAGUAAUGUAUCGGAACGUGCCCAGUAGCGGGGGAUAACUACGCGAAAGCGAAGCUAAUACCGCAUACUAUUGGAGCGGCCGAUUUCGGAUUAGCGAGUUGGUGGGGUAACGGCCCACCAAGGCGACGAUCCGUAGCUGGUUUGAGAGGAGGACCAGCCACACUGGAACUUAGACACGGCCCCGACUCCUACGGGAGGCAGCAGGGGGGAAUUUUGGACAAUGGGUGAAACCCUGAUCCAGCCAUCCCGCGUGUGCGAUGAAGGCCUUCGGUUUGUAAAGCACUUGGGGCAGGAAAGCGUUACCUGCAGAAUAAGCACCGGCUAACUACGUGCCAGCAGCCGCGGUAAUAC